rnacentral:misc_RNA from 1 species
GUGAAAUUAUGGGUAUGAAGAGAUGGGUAACGAUAGGUGUAGUAGUAGCGAUAAUGGCAUCAAUGAAAGGAUUAAGCAGCCAAUUGGGUUUCGAAAAAGAGAUAGCAAUUCAAUGGUUAAAGCUAAUGUCCGAUCGAUUAGGAAAUUGGGCGAUCCCUGCUUAUGUUGCUCUUCAUACAAUUACACUUGCUCUUUGUCUUCCUUAUGCCGUCUUCUUUGAAGCUGGUGCUUCUCUACUUUUUGGCUUCUUACCUGCUGUCUUGUGCGUCUUUUCUGCUAAAAUUCUUGGGGCUUCGCUCUCUUUCUCCAUCGGCAGGUUUGUGUUUCACAGUUCCAGCUCUGCUGUUGAGUGGGUGCAAAACAACAAAUACUUCCAUGUGCUUUCAAAGGGUGUUGAACGAGAUGGAUGGAAAUUUGUACUCCUUGCCCGUUUCUCACCUAUACCGUCUUAUGUCAUCAACUAUGCCUUAGCAGCCACCAAUGUUAGGUUCUUCCAGGAUUUCCUACUUCCAACAGCAAUUGGCUGCCUGCCAAUGAUCCUACAGAACACAUCUAUUGGCAGUCUAGCCGGUGCUGCUGUAUCAUCCGGCUCUGGAUCUAAUACAUCCAAUUUAUGGUCAUACAUCUUUCCUCUACUUGGUAUCUUAGCAAGUAUCCUCAUUUCUUUGCGGGUGAAAAAGUAUUCCAAGGAUAUCUCAGUCGCUGAGACAGUUCCUACAGAUGAUAACAACAACAAUAGAUUGACUGGAAGGGUAAAAGGAAAAGACUCAAAGAAACAGUAAUAUACUAUAUAUAGGUUUUUCAUUCCUUCUUUCCCUCUUUAAUAUCCCCCUGAUGGUGAUCGAAAGGUAGGGAUUUAUCGAGCCAUGGCUGACAUAACCCGUGGUCCCGUUGCUAAGGAAGAAAAUGAAUUGCGAUGAGAACAUGGUGGUUUUUCCAAAAGAAGUUGAUAAUUUAUUUUAUCUCUUCCUACAUUAUGGUUAAGAAAUUUGAUGUUUGUGUAGACAAAAUCAAUUCUUGAAAUCAAAGAGAUACUGUGACCGUCAUAUAGAGAUUUAAGCUUAAUGGAUAAAUGGUUUAUAUUCUCCUUCACUAUGCAUUUUGUUUUAGCUCGAAUGUUUUAUUCAUGUAGUUUUGUUGC